AUAGAUGUUACCACUCUACCUAUAACUUUAGAAAAAGGUUGAGUACCUAACCUGACAAAGUUAUACUCCAUUUAAAUUAUGGUUCCCGUAGUUUCACACGCCUCUCAGGGGAUCUUCCCAUAGCCGGACAAAAUGUCUAUGUUACACAGGAGAUUAUGUAGCUUCCCAGUAGUGCAAGAUUGCAAAUCGAAAUCAAUCGGAAUUAUUUCACUCCCGCUGCCGCGAGACGCCGGGCUAACGACGGUUGCACCUGCAGGUGCGUGGUGGGCACGGCGUCGGGCGGGCUCUUCCUGGCGAGGCCUUCGCGCAGCCUCGUCUCGCGCACCAGCUCGGGCGUGGCCAGGCGCCGCAUCGGCUGUAUCGACGCCAUGCGCAGAUGAAUUUAUUUACUCUUGGCAUCGAGACGUCAAGCUCGAUGGGUUUUUCCACCUCUGGCCGAUCGGGCAUUACGAAAUGGUGUCCGAGCAGUGGCUCAUCAGGCGGCGCGCCAUACGUUAGCUUCAGUUCUUCCUUGGUGAUGUCGCUUAACAGGUCUAUCACCUUCUGACCAGGCACGUAGCGUGACACCACACCACCAUUUAAUACCUGUUAAGAUGGCCUUGAAUUAAGAACACGUUUUAAUGAUAUUUAGGAAAUGCCUGUCAACUAUUCAGAACUUAUAAGAGCAUACCUUGAAGGUGGUAGAGCUAGCAAUUUUUUUCACAUCAGGUGGAAAACGUGUAACUUCCAACGUCCACGGCACGAAGCUGCCGAGCGUCUGCAGGUACUCACCAGAGAUACGCCACAAGCGCACACUGUAGUCUGAACUGCCGCUGAAAAUUGACAUCAUCUAUCGAUACUGGUUACCGUCUUUACUAUAUUUAAGUAUGCUAUUGUAUUUUCUAUGGGCCUUAGAUGCCUGAUGCAAAUAAAUAAAUAAAUAAA